UAACCCUUGCCAAGUCGAACGGGGAUACGUUUUCGGAUGUAUUCUAGUGGCGCACGGGUGAGUAACGCGUGAGCGACCUGACCCAAAGAGGGGGAUAACAUCGAGAAAUCGAUGCUAAUACCGCAUAAGACCACGGUAUCGCAUGGUACAGAGGUCAAAGGAGCAAUCCGCUUUGGGAGGGGCUCGCGUCCCAUUAGAUAGUAGGCGGGGUAACGGCCCACCUAGUCAACGAUGGGUAGCCGAGCUGAGAGGCUGAUCGGCCACACUGGAACUGAGACACGGUCCAGACUCCUACGGGAGGCAGCAGUGGGGAAUAUUGGGCAAUGGGCGAAAGCCUGACCCAGCAACGCCGCGUGAGGGAAGAAGGUUUUCGGAUUGUAAACCUCUGUCGCAGAUGACGAAGGAAGUGACGGUAAUCUGUGAGGAAGCCCCGGCUAACUACGUGCCAGCAGCCGCGGUAAUACGUAGGGGGCGAGCGUUGUCCGGAAUUACUGGGCGUAAAGGGUGCGUAGGCGGUUGAUUAAGUUGGAUGUGAAAUACCCGGGCUUAACCUGGGGGGUGCAUUCAAAACUGGUCAACUAGAGUUCAGGAGAGGGAAGCGGAAUUCCUAGUGUAGCGGUGAAAUGCGUAGAUAUUAGGAGGAACACCAGUGGCGAAGGCGGCUU
rnacentral:rRNA from 1 species